CCUACGGGUGGCAGCAGUGAGGAAUAUUGGUCAAUGGACGCGAGCCUGACCAGCCAAGUAGCGUGAAGGAUGACUGCCCUACGGGUUGUAAACUUCUUGUAUAAAGGAAUCAAGUGCGGCACGUGUGCCUUUUUGUAUGUACUUUAUGAAUAAGGAUCGGCUAACUCCGUGCCAGCAGCCGCGGUAAUACGUAGGAUCCGAGCGUUCUCCGGAUUUAUUGGGUUGAAUGGGAGCGUAGAUGGGUUGUUAAGUCAGUUGUGAAAGUUUGAGGAUCAACCGUAAAAUUGCAAUUGAUAAGGGCAGCCUGGAGUACAGUUGAGGUAUGCGGAAUUCGUGGUGUAGCGGUGAAAUGCUUAGAUAUCACGAAGAACUCCGAUUGCGAAGGCAGCCUACUAAACUGCCACUGACAUUGAUGCUCGAAAGUGUGGGUAUCAAACAGGAUUAGAUACCCGGGUAGUC
rnacentral:rRNA from 1 species